GAUGAACGCUGGCGGCGUGCUUAACACAUGCAAGUCGAACGGUUAACGAGGGAGCUUGCUCCCUCCGGAUCAGUGGCGAACGGUUUAGUAACACGUGAGCAAUCUGCCCCGAACUCUGGGAUAAGCGAUGGAAACGGCGUCUAAUACCGGAUACGACGCGCGAAGGCAUCUUCUGCGCGUGGACAGAAUUUCGGUUCGGGAUGAGCUCGCGGCCUAUCAGCUAGUUGGUGAGGUAACGGCGCAACAAGGAGACGACGGGUAGCCGGCCUGGAGGGGUAACCGGGCAAACUGGGACUGAGACACGGCCCAGACUCCUACGGGAGGCAGCAGUGGGGAAUAUUGCACAAUGGGCGCAAGCCUGAUGCAGCACCGCCGCGUGAGGGACGACGGCCUUCGGGUUGUAAACCUCUUUUAGUAGGGAAGAAGCGAAAGUGACGGUACCUGCAGAAAAAGCCCCGGCUAACUUCGUGCCAGCCGCCGCAGUAAGAC
rnacentral:rRNA from 1 species